AGCAGUUCAUGAAAACUACACAGACAAGUAUCUAACAUAGUAAAUACUCACCAAAUACACUAUUGCCGUUGCUGCAACUGCUGCUAUUAUUUAUAUCAUCACUAUCUUCACUGUCAUUGACAUCAGCUAUUUCCUGACAAAGUUACAAAUUUGAAGCAAUGUCUAUCAACUGAAGAUAAACAUCUGCCCUACCCUCCACUUCUCUCUAAAAUUAGAUAAAAAGCAGCAAAUCAGAAGCACGCAGACAUCAGAAGGAAGAAGACUUCUUACAGCUGUCAGCCAAUAAGCCAACAAAUCAACAAGCUCUUUUUGAAUGGUUGCAUUUGGAGAUGUUCUACCUCUCAACUCUUCAUCAUCAUCAAUUCUAAUACACCCUCACUCUCACUGCAAAAUAGACAAAAGUAGUUUCUUUGCACUGCUUUUCCUUAUGACUACAGAGAAAUCUCAGAUGAUCCAGUGUUUCCAUCAUAAUAAAUGGUAUCUAAGCUGUAGCUCUCCCUCUUCUUGAAGGUUGUCUUUGUGUUCCUCUUCCUCCCAAGAUGGGCCAUUAUACUCAGGCCGUCAUAAAAGGAAAAAAUUGAUGAAUGUGUCUACCAAAAAUAAAAAUCAGAUUAAAAAAUAAACUUCCAGUGGCA